CACUGACGUUCUGCCAAUCCGAGAAAGUCUCGUCAAGACGGACACAUUGCGAGCGCCCCCGAAGCGAAUGUCAUCGGUCACUUUUAGAAGAGCUGUAACCGUGCUGUGGCCCUUGCGAAAACCAGAUUGGAAGGAGCUAAGAAGAUUGUGGGAGAGGAGAAAAGACGACAGCUGACGGUGGACAAUGUGCUCAA